CGUUCUAUUAGUCUAAUCUAUGGAGGUGUUUUAGUCUCAAACAAUAAUUCGUAGGACUGCUCUGUUUCCUUUUAUCAGCUCAGAUACCUGCCUACAGAUAUCUGUUAAAUUCAAUCAUAAAAUAGUUUCCAUCAAAAGUUACUUAAUUCUUUGCUGUCCUCAUGACAGAUCACCAAUCAAAGUCUGAUGUCUUGGUUUUUUUAGUAUAAUUUAUUUAUUUUUAUCUAACAAUGACACAUGCUUUACAGAGCAUGGGGAAAAUGUUACUUAGGGUAUACAUGAAAGUUUAAUACAUUAUGGUGGAGUUCAUUGUGGAAUACAUUAUGGUGCAGUUCAAAAAAAGAAAGUAGAUGCUUUCUGGCAAUUGCAUAAUUUAAGCAAUUUAUUGCACACUGCAUUGCUAAUCUAGUCAGGAUAGAAAUAAAGCUACCCUAGCAUAUGCUGUUAGUUUCAUUGUUGCAAAUAGAGCAAAAAUAGCAAAUUAUCUUAAAGUGAAAAUAUUCAGUUCAUAGAGCUCCUUCAGCUGCCACAUCCCAAAAUGCAGAUAUUAAUAGGCUUUUCUAUCAACUGUACGGUAUGUCAGAGACCUAAAAAUAUUUCCUACAAAAAUUCAAACUCAAGUGUCCCCUAACAACAUCUAGUGAAUCUAGUUUAAAAAAAAUCUUGAAUUAGAUUUAAUAUUUUAAGAUCUAAAAUUUUAUUGAUGGUACUUUUAUUUAAACCUGGCUGCAUCUGUUUUAUGGGAACACAGUAUUAACUGCAAUACAACAUUGUACCUAUCAUGCUCAGUGACUAUACUAGUGUUGCUGCUUAACAAGCACUGACUAGUGAACCUUUAUGCUCUGGUUAAUAUUUUUACAUCAGUUUAGACACUUUGAAGUUUAAAUCCAACUGACAUUUUAGUAAGCUUUUAAGUGUGUACCUUUAUUUCUAGAAAGUAGACCUAGAUAUGAAAAAUUCUACUUACAAGCAUCAGCGUGAGGCACUUCAUCUGAAGGCACUCCUCAGUACCCCAGUUUUAUGAAGCUGAGAUCUCCUUCCCUGCAUGUGAUCUCAACCACUGCAACAGGCAUGUACAAACAAAAUUGGGAUUGUAGGGCAGUUCCCUCAAGCAUGCUGUCUUUUCUCAGGAAAGCUACAGAACAGUUGUCCAGUAAGUGAAUAUUUUGCUGGAGAGACCUUCUUCUCCGGUUUUAAAGAGCUAGGUACUGAAGCCUGAGUCACUGCCAUUAUCACAUUCACAUGGUAGAAGGAUUUGGACAGGAACUGAACUGCUUAAACUAGAGCUAGAAGCUUGAUCCUCAAGAGUAGUCCCAAAAUGGAAGUCAAAUUCCCAUAGUCAGUAGCUCCCUAUUAGGUCAAAUAAAGUAAAAUAAACUGAAAAGAGUAAAAACUAAUACCCUUGGAUGAGCACUUCAAAACUGAAAGUGAAUAUAUAUAAACGGUAGCAGAGGAUCAGGCUGACAGAGAACCUGCAGAUGCUUCACUACUUUAGUAGUGGUUGUGGAUUCUGUUGAGGAACAGCAUGUUGAACAGAAUAGCAAGUCCAAUAUGCCUGAUUAUGGAAGGCCAAUCUAGCUAACAUUAAUGCUGCUUAUCAGUUAAUAACCGAUAUUAUAUAGAAAGCAUGAGGCUUACAAAACUGUUGUAGAGCUCCCACAUUUGUAAGAGGAGGACUUGAUACUCUUAUAUCUGUUAUUCUAUAUCAACAUUUAUGCUGAAGGGGAUUUUUUAAAUUACUGUUUUGAGACAGUGACAUUUUAUAUCUAUUUCAUAAUCAUUUAUAGGAUUACACAAAGUACAAGGUCAUGGGGAAUUAAGUUUUAUUUAUCUAAUAUAUUACUUUAGCCAAUUUACAAGAUGUUUUUACAGGUGCUUUGAUACCUAUACUAGUAUUCCUCCUUCAUAUUUUUGCAUGCAAACAUCAAAAAUUACCUCAAAACCCAAGUUCCCCAGUGAAAAACUAUGAUGCAAAGGCUCAGGUUCUCUCAAUCUUCAACUUUAUUACAAAGUGGCAAAAAUGUUAAGAAAAUUUUUGGAAAACUCUGAGCUAUGCUUGAGUCUAUAGCUAAAACACCAAGAUUUUUUUUCUUCCUUUCAUGUUUUAUAAUUCUAGCUAGGAAAUAUUUUAUGCCAUUCCAACAUUCUUUUAAAUUUAAUUUUAAAUUUAUUUGUUAUACGUGGAGUUAUACUGUAAAAAAUACCAUCCAGAGAACAACACAAGAAUGUUAGGUUUCUAUCAGUAUCAAUACAUUUUUGCGUCAGGUAGAACCUAAAGCCAGAUUUUAAGGAAUCCUGUAUUUCUGUAAUUGGACAGUUGUCAUAUGCUCCAUAAUUUUCAUUGAAAUAUGUCUUAAUUUCAUUGUGUAAUUUUCAUAUUUGUACUGGUAACUUUUACAAAAGCAUGUCUUAUACUAAACAGUACUAUAUUUCACGCUUGUCAUUUAGAUUCUUGUCAGUGUUGUAAUAUAGAAGAGCUAAUGGCAUAUGCCAUUCUGAAUACUUCAUCUAUGUUCUUGUCUUUCAGAACUUAAGGAAAGUUAAAUAUAGGUUUGAAAGAACUUUUUUAUGUUGCUAUAAUUAAAUAUCUAUCAGUAUUUCUGUGAUGAUCAUCUGUUACCCUGACCUUAUGAAAUAUGAGGGCUUCUCCCACAUUUGGUUAAAAUUUGGCCACUCUUUGAAGAUAUAACUUCAAGUGGUUGUGUCCACUUAUCUUACCAGUUCAGGAAUUAAAGAGGUAAUGGUCUUUUUCUCAUUAACUUCUCAUUUAGAACAAGCCCUGUAAGCUACAGGUAUACUGGCACAUUUAAUUACCAUUCUCUGGUAUCCAGAGCAAAUAGCUUAGAACGGUCUGGAUUCAUACUACUAAACUCUCUUACAUCCCAAACUAGAGUAGUCCCAUGUAAAUCGUCUACUGGGAACAUACUCUAACCUAUGCUAACUUCCAAAACAUGCCUAAGAACUGGGAGAGAGGUAGUUGGUCUAGGCCAAAACAUGAUAGAUACUGUUCUAGCAAUGGAACAGUACUGUACCAAAAAAUCAAGUUUCAGUGCCAAGAAGCGCAUCCUGACUCUGUUUAAUUUACUAGCAUAAAUAUAACUUUAGGUGAAAUUCUUACUAUCCCAUUGAUUCUGAAGGCAUUCUUUUCCUCUUUCUCCAGAAGCAUCUAAUAAGAACAUCCUCCUCUGUACCUGACACGUGCCUUAAAAAAAAAAAAAGCCUACUUCAAUAUUGAGUGUUCAGAUGAAGCACCUUUCCUGGAUAAUUUAGAUACAGUCAUCACCUCAGUAUUACCUUUUUUGCGUUGUUCCAUUCUCACUAUUACAUCCUAUUCCACUAGUAUAUUUGUUGAUUAUCUUUCCUAUAACAAGUAAUUUGUGACUUCAGUAAUUGAGACACAACAAUGUAUUGUAAUAGAAGGGGUUUUUAUGUGUGUAACAGUAAUGGAGAUCUACAUUAAAUUGGACUUGCUGUGAGGCUUUUUUAAAUCUCUUUAUUAAGUUAUAUAUUGAAAUGUUGUAAUAUGAUCUUUGUUUACAGAACUGCUAGGUUAUUAUAGAAAUGCAGGUUAUUGUGACACAUACCACAGUGAAGAUCAAACAGUGUAACCUGGAGAGACAGACCACUGCGUUUCUCUGCUUAAGCAUGGACUUCAGUUAAUCAGUGCCCAGGAGUAUCAUGAUGUUGCUUUGUGUAUGGAUUUAAUUUUAGGAAGAAAAUUUAUUCCAAGAUGCUGGAAAAUGACAGAAAGCUCAAUAAAUAGGAGAGAAAAAUGAAGCCUGUAAACAGUUGUUGUUCUAUCCUUCCCUCACCUUUAAGGAUGAAGAAACAUAGCAGAGAUUAUGGUGAUCCACACUGUAUUAUAAGGAAUAGAUGUGAAGAAAGAAGAUCAGGCUUAAAAAGGAUUUAGUCUGGCAUGGCAGCAAGUACUCAGGAAUGUCAGGAAAUAAGAACGGAAGUAAAAAAACUACGUGGCUAGCAGGUGUUAACCCUCUGCAUACAGUAGCUAUCAAGGGUGAUACAUGCCUGGGUAAGGAAUCCCCACCCAAAUAACUUUUGUGCAAAACUUCAGUGCUUCAAGCUGACAGAGUUAGUUACACAAACAAGCAUGUAGGCUUCCUUAUGCUAUUAUUUUCAGUAUUAUGCCUCCUCCCAAGACUGAACCAAAAGAUAUCUUUACCUUGAUAAAAUGACGAAAGUAACUCUCAUCAUUUUCACAAAAGUCAUACUACAAAAAAAAGCCAUGUAGCCAUAGAUAAGAGAUGAAAUGAACCUGCAUUCUUCUGUGUUACUGGAAACCAGAGCAAUAUACAUUCUAUGAAACUGAGAUGCCACUUAGGAAAUAAUAAUCUAACAUAUUUGAACAAAAAUCCUAUCAAAUGGUUUAAUAAUACUGCCCUACUCUGCAAAUGGAAAACUGAAGUAGAGAGGGAAAAGGUUACUCUCCUACUAUGCUGGAACAGCAAUGGAUGUGUUUCAGCUUCUGGCCAUAUGGCUGCUUCACAGACCAUCUUUGGACUUACUAUUUGAGCAUUUUUGGCAGCACAUUAGUAGCACAAUGUCCAUCUAGCUCUGCAUUUUAAAUCCCUAAAACCAAGCCAAAACGCAGACACACACAUAUACUCAGCUAAGAAUAAUCAUAUAAAAUAUCAGGGGAAAUAUUUGUAAUCGCUGUUAGAAACAGAAACAGUCAUUACCAUGUAGGUGUUGCAGCCUUUUCCUUUGCAUCUUUACCAAUACUUCUUAGAAACUUCUAUUGCUCUGGCAAUGAUCCCAUUGAAACCAAAUUAUUUGCUAUUUAGUGUGGAUAAGGGUGGCAGAAUUUGUCUCAUUCUUACUACUUACUACUAUGAUCCAGCAAUACGUGCUUCUGAUAUUACCAUGUAUUGUAAAAGCAAACUU